rnacentral:rRNA from 1 species
GCGAUGUUUCAUUUCAAAUUUCCUGCCCUUAUCCAACUUUCGACGGUAGGGUAGUGGCCUACCGUGGUGGUAACGGGUGACGGAGGAUUAGGGUUCGAUUCCGGAGAGGGAGCCUGAGAAACGGCUACCACAUCCAAGGAAGGCAGCAGGCGCGCAAAUUACCCAAAUCCCAACUCGGGGAGGUAGUGACAAGAAAUAACGAUGCUCCGACCUAUGGUCGGGUAAUCGGAAUGAGAACAAUUUAAAUCCCUUAUCGAGGAUCAAUUGGAGGGCAAGUCUGGUGCCAGCAGCCGCGGUAAUUCCAGCUCCAAUAGCGUAUAUUUAAGUUGCUGCGGUUAAAAAGCUCGUAGUCGGAUUUCGGGUGGUUCCUGCCGGUCCGCCUCUGGUGUGUACUGGUAUGCGCCACCUUUCUGCCGAGGACGGGCUCCUGGGUUUAAUUAUCUGGGACCCGGAGUCGGCGUUGUCACUUUGAGUAAAUUAGGGUGUUUAAAGCAGGCUUAUGCUCUGAAUACACUAGCAUGGGAUGACACGAUAGGACUCCGGUCUAUCUUGUCGGUCUGUAGAGUGGAGUAAUGAUUAAGAGGGACAGUCGGGGGCAUUCGUAUUUCGUAGUCAGAGGUGAAAUUCUUGGAUUUACGGAAGACGAACUUCUGCGAAAGCAUUUGCCAAGGAUGUUUUCAUUGAUCAAGAACGAAAGUCGGGGGCUCGAAGACGAUUAGAUACCGUCGUAGUCUCGACCAUAAACGAUGCC